AUUGAACGCUGGCGGUAGGCCUAACACAUGCAAGUCGAGCGAGCGGCGGACGGGUGAGUAAUGUCUGGGAAACUGCCUGAUGGAGGGGGAUAACUACUGGAAACGGUAGCUAAUACCGCAUACCAUCAGAUGUGCCCAGAUGGGAUUAGCUAGUAGGUGGGGUAACGGCUCACCUAGGGGACGAUCCCUAGCUGGUCUGCGAGGAUGACAAGCCACACGGGAACUGGGACACGUUCCAGACUCUUACGGAGGGCAGCAGUGGGGAAUAUUGAACAAGGGGCGCAAGCCUGAUGCAGCCAGGCCGCGUGUAUGAAGAAGGCCUUCGGGUUGUAAAGUACUUUCAGCGGGGAGGCGUUACCCGCAGAAGAAGCACCGGCUAACUCCGUGCCAGCAGCCGCGGAAUUC
rnacentral:rRNA from 1 species